AUUGAACGCUGGCGGCAUGCCUUACACAUGCAAGUCGAGCGGGGUGAUGGUGGUUGCACUAUCACUUAGCGGCGGACGGGUGAGUAAUGCUUAGGAAUCUGCCUAUUAGUGGGGGACAGCAUCUCGAAAGGGAUGCCAAUACCGCAUACGUCCUACGGGAGAAAGCAGGGGAUCACUUGUGACCUUGCGCUAAUAGAUGAGCCUAAGUCGGAUUAGCUAGUUGGUGGGGUAAAGGCCUACCAAGGCGACGAUCUGUAGCGGGUCUGAGAGGAUGAUCCGCCACACUGGGACUGAGGCACGGCCCAGACUCCUACGGGAGGCAGCAGUGGGGAAUAUUGGACAAUGGGGGGAACCCUGAUCCAGCCAUGCCUCGUGUGUGAAGAAGGCCUUAUGGUUGUAAAGCACUUUAAGCGAGGAGGAGGCUCUUUUGGUUAAUACCCAAGAUGAGUGGACGUUACUCGCAGAAUAAGCACCGGCUAACUCUGUGCCAGCAGCCGCCGCCG
rnacentral:rRNA from 1 species